rnacentral:rRNA from 1 species
AGAGUUUGAUCUUGGCUCAGGAUGAACGCUGGCGGCGUGCUAAUACAUGCAAGUCGAGCGAACAGACGAGGAGCUUGCUCCUUUGACGUUAGCGGCGGACGGGUGAGUAACACGUAGGUAACCUACCUAUAAGACUGGGAUAACUUCGGGAAACCGGAGCUAAUACCGGAUAAUAUUUCGAACCGCAUGGUUCGAUAGUGAAAGAUGGCUUUGCUAUCACUUAUAGAUGGACCUGCGCCGUAUUAGCUAGUUGGUAAGGUAACGGCUUACCAAGGCAACGAUACGUAGCCGACCUGAGAGGGUGAUCGGCCACACUGGAACUGAGACACGGUCCAGACUCCUACGGGAGGCAGCAGUAGGGAAUCUUCCGCAAUGGGCGAAAGCCUGACGGAGCAACGCCGCGUGAGUGAUGAAGGUCUUCGGAUCGUAAAACUCUGUUAUUAGGGAAGAACAAACGUGUAAGUAACUGUGCACGUCUUGACGGUACCUAAUCAGAAAGCCACGGCUAACUACGUGCCAGCAGCCGCGGUAAUACGUAGGUGGCAAGCGUUAUCCGGAAUUAUUGGGCGUAAAGCGCGCGUAGGCGGUUUUUUAAGUCUGAUGUGAAAGCCCACGGCUCAACCGUGGAGGGUCAUUGGAAACUGGAAAACUUGAGUGCAGAAGAGGAAAGUGGAAUUCCAUGUGUAGCGGUGAAAUGCGCAGAGAUAUGGAGGAACACCAGUGGCGAAGGCGACUUUCUGGUCUGUAACUGACGCUGAUGUGCGAAAGCGUGGGGAUCAAACAGGAUUAGAUACCCUGGUAGUCCACGCCGUAAACGAUGAGUGCUAAGUGUUAGGGGGUUUCCGCCCCUUAGUGCUGCAGCUAACGCAUUAAGCACUCCGCCUGGGGAGUACGACCGCAAGGUUGAAACUCAAAGGAAUUGACGG